UAUCAUACAUUCCAAAAGAAUCACCAAAAUGACCUAUAUCUAAUAUAAGGAAAAAAAAUGAAAUGAACACAAUUUAUAAUUAAAUAAUAUUAUUUAUUUCAAUAUGUAAAUGCUUGGGUACAAUUACAACAGAAGAUUAAAAGGUCCCCACACAUUUCCAAAAUACCCCUAGAAGGCAGGGCCACCCACCAAGGAGCAGCUGAGGGCUAGACUCGGGGACAGGGUCACGAUUGGGCCUUGGGGACCACAUGACUAGGAGCAGCACCUCUGGGAGGCACAGGAGGCUCUGGCGGAUAAUUAGCCAAGCCAGAAAGAGGAGCUCCUGCCAACAUCUGUACCACACAAUGAAAAACCUCCUGGCAAGAGGAAGUAAAGAGGUAAAGACUCGAAAGUCUGAAUUCAGUUGACAACGGAUGCCCUUAGGAGCUGCAGCUGCUGGACACCCACCUGACACCCACCUCCCUCCCCGACAGGUAGAGGGCACAGACCCUGCCGUGAGCCACACGGCGCGUCCGGCAACACCCUGCUCCAGCUAGGUGCUGAGUCAGUCACCUGCAGGGACUGCCAAGUAGGUGUGGGGUUUCCAACAUAGAAGGAACAGCAGAGCUGGGGAAAACCACCUCUGGCCAAACCUCCCUGAAAAGAUUUAACGGCAUAGAGGUGUGGGAUUUUGUCCCGGUUUCACUCUGCCAGGUUCUACUGCUUCCCAAUCUGUGGCCCAGGGGCACCCUCUCACCCUGUAGCGGCGGUCUUGUACUUGCUUCCCCUUUAUACCUGCCUGCUCUCUGUUUACCUGUUUUUCAUGAGGACCACACAGGCCCGGGCAGAGCAGGAGGUGGGUGGCUCCACGCCAUGCCCUCCAAGACAACGCCGGGCUCAACAGGGCUCGGGCAGCACCCUCUGCAGUGAGCAGGCUUCUGACUGUCGGCACGACGCCACUUUACCAGAAUAGAAACGAGCGUCUGGAUCAGGGCGUAUUUCUUUCUCAUUGUUCUUUCUUUCCCUUGGUUCUAGUGGUAGAAACAAUUCCUGGAACAGCAUCUUUCUGCUUUAAAAUAUCAAUUAAUUUAAAAAAAAAUGGGUCUUGAGACACAUUGCCCCUGAAUAUCUGGCCCAAUGGGUUUAUUUAUUGUGAUGGACUGAACUGCCCCACCACAAACUCGCAUGCUAAAGUUCUGAUCCCCGGUAUCUCAGAAUGUGAUCUAAUUUAGAAAUAGCGUCCUGGCAGGUGCGAUCAGUUAAGGCGAGGUCGUACUGGGGCAGGGCGGGCCCUAAUUAAACAUGACUAGAAUCCUCUCAAGGAAAGGAUUUGGACGCAGACCCACCACCUGCAGAUGAAGGCAGGGAUCGAGGUGAUGCUCCUACAACCCAAGGAACACCAAAGACCCCAGCCACCGCCGGAAGCUGGGAGAGAGGAGGGACACAUUCUCCCCCACAGCCUCCGAAGGAACCAGCCAUCACUUCGGUCCCGGCCUUCUAACCUCUAGAGUUGUGGGGAAAUAAAUGCCUGUUGUGUAAGUCA